AGAAUAUAUAAUAGUUCAUCUUCAGCAUGAAAAAGAGGAACGUGCAGAAGGACUUUCCACGCUUGUGAUUUAUUUGGACAUUGAAGAUUCUUACCAGCAUGAGAAUCAGUCCCAGUGGACAGUUAUUAUUUCAGCAAUAGGAGUCUUGUGCCACAAACUUCUCGUUGAUCAGAUACAUAGAGAAAUUGAAGGUUUGUUUCCUUGGUGUCAGAACAAAGCCCUUCAUGGAAAGGGGUGUCCCCAUGAAUCUCUGCACCUCAUGCCUUUCCAGCUGUCCUUUGAGUUGUAUGAGAAAUCUGAUGUUAUCAAGGAAGAUUGUUUAACACUCAAACAGUUCAUCUAUAGGACCAGCCUUAUGCACACAGAGGUAAGACACUGUUCCUGUACUCAGGAUCAACAGGCUGAAAACAGAAAUUUUAAGGGAGGAAUUCU
rnacentral:lncRNA from 1 species